AUUGAACGCUGGCGGCAUGCCUUACACAUGCAAGUCGAACGGUAACAGGUCUUCGGAUGCUGACGAGUGGCGAACGGGUGAGUAAUACAUCGGAACGUGCCUAGUAGUGGGGGAUAACUACUCGAAAGAGUGGCUAAUACCGCAUGAGAUCUACGGAUGAAAGCAGGGGAUCGCAAGACCUUGUGCUACUAGAGCGGCCGAUGGCAGAUUAGGUAGUUGGUGGGAUAAAAGCUUACCAAGCCGACGAUCUGUAGCUGGUCUGAGAGGAGGAUCAGCCACACUGGGACUGGGACACGGCCCAGACUCCUACGGGAGGCAGCAGUGGGGAAUUUUGGACAAUGGGCGCAAGCCUGAUCCAGCAAUGCCGCGUGCAGGAUGAAGGCCUUCGGGUUGUAAACUGCUUUUGUACGGAACGAAAAGCCCUGGGUUAAUACCCUGGGGUCAUGACGGUACCGUAAGCAUAAGCACCGGCUGACUACGUGCCAGCCGCCGCGGUAACAC
rnacentral:rRNA from 1 species